UAGGGAAUCUUCCGCAAUGGACGCAAGUCUGACGGAGCAACGCCGCGUGAGUGAAGAAGGAUUUCGGUUCGUAAAACUCUGUUGUUAGAGAAGAACAGCGCAUAGAGUAACUGUUAUGCGUGUGACGGUAUCUAACCAGAAAGCCACGGCUAACUACGUGCCAGCAGCCGCGGUAAUACGUAGGUGGCAAGCGUUGUCCGGAUUUAUUGGGCGUAAAGCGAGCGCAGGCGGUCAAUUAAGUCUGAUGUGAAAGCCCCCGGCUCAACCGGGGAGGGUCAUUGGAAACUGGUUGACUUGAGUGCAGAAGAGGAGAGUGGAAUUCCAUGUGUAGCGGUGAAAUGCGUAGAUAUAUGGAGGAACACCAGUGGCGAAGGCGACUCUCUGGUCUGUAACUGACGCUUAGGCUCGAAAGCGUGGGUAGCAAACAGG
rnacentral:rRNA from 1 species